rnacentral:rRNA from 1 species
CAUAAGUAACGAUAAAGCGGGUGAAAAGCCCGCUCGCCGGAAGACCAAGGGUUCCUGUCCAACGUUAAUCGGGGCAGGGUGAGUCGACCCCUAAGGCGAGGCCGAAAGGCGUAGUCGAUGGGAAACAGGUUAAUAUUCCUGUACUUGGUGUUACUGCGAAGGGGGGACGGAGAAGGCUAUGUUGGCCGGGCGACGGUUGUCCCGGUUUAAGCGUGUAGGCUGGUUUUCCAGGCAAAUCCGGAAAAUCAAGGCUGAGGCGUGAUGACGAGGCACUACGGUGCUGAAGCAACAAAUGCCCUGCUUCCAGGAAAAGCCUCUAAGCAUCAGGUAACAUCAAAUCGUACCCCAAACCGACACAGGUGGUCAGGUAGAGAAUACCAAGGCGCUUGAGAGAACUCGGGUGAAGGAACUAGGCAAAAUGGUGCCGUAACUUCGGGAGAAGGCACGCUGAUAUGUAGGUGAAGUCCCUCGCGGAUGGAGCUGAAAUCAGUCGAAGAUACCAGCUGGCUGCAACUGUUUAUUAAAAACACAGCACUGUGCAAACACGAAAGUGGACGUAUACGGUGUGACGCCUGCCCGGUGC